rnacentral:rRNA from 1 species
CCUACGGGAGGCAGCAGUGGGGAAUAUUGGACAAUGGGGGCAACCCUGAUCCAGCCAUGCCACGUGUGUGAAGAAGGCCCUCGGGUUGUAAAGCACUUUCAGCGAGGAAGAACGCCUAGCGGUUAAUACCCGCUAGGAAAGACAUCACUCGCAGAAGAAGCACCGGCUAACUCCGUGCCAGCAGCCGCGGUAAUACGGAGGGUGCAAGUGUUAAUCGGAAUUACUGGGCGUAAAGCGCGCGUAGGUGGCUUGAUAAGCCGGUUGUGAAAGCCCCGGGCUCAACCUGGGAACGGCAUCCGGAACUGUCAAGCUAGAGUGCAGGAGAGGAAGGUAGAAUUCCCGGUGUAGCGGUGAAAUGCGUAGAGAUCGGGAGGAAUACCAGUGGCGAAGGCGGCCUUCUGGACUGACACUGACACUGAGGUGCGAAAGCGUGGGUAGCAAACAGGAUUAGAUACCCUGGUAGUCCACGCCGUAAACGAUGUCGACCAGCCGUUGGGUGCCUAGCGCACUUUGUGGCGAAGUUAACGCGAUAAGUCGACCGCCUGGGGAGUACGGCCGCAAGGUUAAAACUCAAAUGAAUUGACGGA